ACUGAAGUAAGGAGAAACAGCCUUGAAUCCUUGGAGGUCUGUCUUCCUUUUGGCCUCUGUGAAACUACAGCUACAGUGGGAAAAAGCAAAGCAAUCUUGAUCCCAGGAGGUUGGUAUGUGGGUGAGCACCAUCUAGGGACCUUGGGGGUAGGGGUGGGCGUCAUAGCCAAAUCUAAGAUCACUACUGUUUUUCCAGCUCUCCACCAGCUUUGCGGAUGUCUGUACUGUCUCUUGUCCCCUCAUUUAGAUGCUGGGAAGUUGUAGGCAUUGAUAGGGCAGGCUAAGGUUGAAGAUAUAGAUAUAAAACGUUAAACUAGGUCUGUGAAUCGGCAAACGCAGGCCUUGAUACCCGUGUCUCGGUGCUAGCCCACCCACCAAGCAUUGUGUCCCUAAACUCUUCCCUAAGUAGAACUGGUUAGACACGAAGUGAACCAGAGCCCUAUGCUUCAUUUUUAUCCUUUACCCCUAGGCCCUGCUUAAGCCUCAGCAGAACUUGUAAGCCUAAACUGAAGAGCCUCACCCGGAGGAGCAGGCAUCCCUUAACCUUAACCAAGCCAAUUCCACCCUCUGGAUCAG
rnacentral:lncRNA from 13 species